rnacentral:rRNA from 1 species
GAUGAACGCUGGCGGCGUGCCUAAUGCAUGCAAGUCGAGCGAACAGAUGAGGAGCUUGCUCCUCUGACGUUAGCGGCGGACGGGUGAGUAACACGUGGAUAACCUACCUAUAAGACUGGGAUAACUUCGGGAAACCGGAGCUAAUACCGGAUAAUAUAUUGAACCGCAUGGUUCAAUAGUGAAAGACGGUUUUGCUGUCACCUAUAGAUGGAUCCGCGCCGCAUUAGCUAGUUGGUAAGGUAACGGCUUACCAAGGCAACGAUGCGUAGCCGACCUGAGAGGGUGAUCGGCCACACUGGAACUGAGACACGGUCCAGACUCCUACGGGAGGCAGCAGUAGGGAAUCUUCCGCAAUGGGCGAAAGCCUGACGGAGCAACGCCGCGUGAGUGAUGAAGGUCUUCGGAUCGUAAAACUCUGUUAUUAGGGAAGAACAAAUGUGUAAGUAACUAUGCACGUCUUGACGGUACCUAAUCAGAAAGCCACGGCUAACUACGUG